GUCAGGCUGUCCAUGUCCAGCACCCUCACACAACAAAGACGGCUUCCUGCCCCCACUUCAAGGACUUCUAGCCUCCUGGGGUUGAGGGGGGACUCUUGAGUUUUUGCACAGACUCACCCAAAUGAGAAUCUCCCUCUGAUCCCUUUGUCCUUUCCAACUCCAGGAAGGCCCAAGUCAGCCAUCCCUAAGUAACAGUGCUGGCACCUCCAUCACCCACGCAGGCGAGCUCACCGCCAC
rnacentral:lncRNA from 1 species